rnacentral:rRNA from 1 species
UACAGAGGUUCCAAGCGUUGUUCGGAUUCAUUGGGCGUAAAGGGUGCGUAGGCUGCGUCAUAAGUCGGAUGUGAAAUCCCGGGGCUCAACCCUGGAACUGCAUUCGAUACUGUGGUGCUAGAGGACUCUAGAGGAAAUUGGAAUUCACGGUGUAGCAGUGAAAUGCGUAGAUAUCGGGAGGAAGACCAGUGGCGAAGGCAGAUUUCUGGAGAGUUCCUGACGCUGAGGCACGAAGGCCAGGGGAGCAAACGGG